rnacentral:lncRNA from 1 species
CCCAUCAUAACAGUCCCAAUACAUAAGUACUUGAGAAAGAGUUUGAUUAAACUAUAAUCAAAACAACAAACCAAAGUUCAAACAUAGUCUUAAAAUACAUUGCAUAAUCAUGACUAGUGCAGUAUUGUUCAAGAAAUAAAGCUAAUUUACACAAGAACACAGAGGAAAAAUUCUUGAAGAACAGGGGCCAAUUCAUUCACUACCAACUACAGGGCUUUCCUUUACAUCUCACACAUUACUCAAGUGUUUAAACAUACCUGGAAAAUGAAAGGAAAUAAGAAAGGUGAAAUCAGCAGUUAAGAAGCAAUAGGGAAUAGAGGAACAGUGCUUCAGAAUCAAUGAAACAGUAACCAAGAAGCAAAACGUAAACCAGUACUUUCAAAGAUAACCAAACUCAAUCCAUUUCAAAACUAGAAAUCCAAAACCUUGAGUUUUCAACGAUUUGAACUAAAAUAUUAAGAAAGGAUGAACCAAAACUAAGUAGGAUUUUCUAUAUUUUUUGGUAAAUUUCCAAGAAUUCCAAGUUGUUUCAGAGUUUCUUAAAGAAAGGCAACCAUUUCCAUUUUUCAGGUUUUUUAUCUCCAAUUUUUUCACUUCUCAAAUCUCUAAAUUCUUUUCGAAAUCUCUAAAGUCUUCCUCCCAAAAAUCUCUGAUAUCU